rnacentral:sRNA from 1 species
UCUGUUGUUUCAAGACUCCUCAUUGGCUGACCAUUUGCCCUACCAGGAGAUGUAUUGUUUUAAGAGGCCUCACUGGAUGUUCCUGCACCCCCCCUCCCACCAUGGGUCUGAUUAAUUUAGACCAGACCCCUGAUUGAACGUUCAGCCACAGACACCCCCUUUUCUGGAUCCACAAUAUCCAGAACCCAUUUCAAGCACGCAUCAACUGGAGACGAUUCCUUCAUUCAUCAGAAGGAUUUGCAUGCCAAAGAAGAAGUCCAGCAGUAUGAAAAAGCUCUAAUAGGUCCUGCUGAUUUUCUGAAACGCUGGUGGCAGAACAUGAAGAAAUGAAUUAUGGCGGAAAUCAAAAUUCCUGUUAAGUAACGAAAACAAAUUAAACGAGGUCCACCGCAUCAGACUUUCAUCUGGACUGGAUUUGGAAUCACCUUAGUUAGAGACUGAUGCACGCCUCUAUUGGGCCAUCCUUUAAAGCCCAUGAACCCACCCUGAAUGGAAGGGGCAUCAUUGCCCAGCUUAGAAUCUAGAAGAAGGAAGGAGGCCGAAUGCAGGAAAGCUAGCCCACAGCUGGUAGUCCAACAGUUCCUGGUCGAACUGUCCUGAUCUACCACACUCUCCUGAAAGCCCGGGACCCAGUGGCCAUUGGCUGAGCUCACUAAAAGUACACAAAAGACCUUUCAUAAGUCGUGUUUGCUGGGGUUUGCUCUUGUUAUAGUGACAUAAGGAAUGGAGGUACACUGGGGUACCACAGGGCUUCAUUGUCCCGUGGUGGAAGAAGCCUGGUGGCGUAUAUCUGCAUCUGCAGCUGGGGGCAAGGGCAGAUGUUCCCUUCCAGCUCCUGUGUUACAGAUGCAGAUCCCAGCUCAGAUGGAGGCACUCGGACUCUCUGGGGUCCUCUGGGGCUGUGGCUCUUAACUCAAUGGGCAGUUAGAGGAGAUCUGAUCGUUUAGGAAAAAUACAGACACUUGGAUCUGUGUCAGACCCGGACCUCAGUCUGCAGUCAAGCACUCAUGAGAGGAUCUGUAGCCUUUCUGUAGAUCGUUUAUAUGAAGUCCGUUUUCCCAUGUAGCCUCUGUCUCCCGUGUGCAGCCAGCCAGGAAGGGUUCCAGGCUUCUGCUGCCAUGGCUACUUUGUCACACUAGUCCCAAGAACCUCCUUCUCCACUGAUCUCCCAACACCCUGCCUCAGCUGUGGUGACCAAGGAUCUCAACUGUUCUCCAGGCAAGGCUUUGGAAGUAACCUUCCAGGGUCCUGUGUCACAAACAUGGCACUCAACUUCUUCUGUCGAUGGACUUUCGGAGGAGGGUUUGCGGGGAGGGGUAAUUUGGACUAGAUGAGGGUGAAGUUAUCACCAAGGUGUCUCUCAGCCAGGACCCUCCCUGAUUGGUCUAUUCAACCCAAGCCCCACCCGCACAGGUUGAGGCAGGUGAGGUUCCAGGAACCUCAGCUCUUACAGUAAAUGGAAACAUUUUAACAGUGCAACAAAAUGGCUCCUGCCUUCAAAGUGAAGCCGGGCUUGGUCCUCCCACCUCUACUUUUGAUUUAUUAAUAGAGAGCGAUUAUGCAAUCACAAAUAAGAUUUUUGUAAUAUUUUCAUCUUAAUUCUAAGUCUGUGGGAAUUACCUUCCCAGACUUAUUUAUUUGCUUUCACAAGCCACAUGUUUCCAGGGUGCCUUUUACAUCUUCUUAACCUACUGGAGAAAAUGAGUGAUGCUCUCCGUCAGCUGAACAGUGUCCUGUAAUUUAACGUUAAUAUUAGGGCAGGAGAAGACUCCCCCAAAGCCCAGUGACUGCCAUUGGCUCACACUGCUUCACGAGCUAAGGGCAGGGCCUGGACUUGAAGUUUUUCCAAAGAAGUAUUUUUUCUGAGAGGGUGCUGGCCUCCUCUUUAAUUCACUCGAUAAACACACACAGGGAACAUGUUAAAUUUUUCUGUGCUUCCUAACUGCCUCAUUGUCUUCUGUAAAUCUGCUUCGCAACCACUCAAACAUGUACUCCUCGAAAGGGCCCGAAGAAACAGAGUUAACCCAACUUAGGAUGCAGUCACUGGUCUCUGCUGUACCCCAGUAAAAUACAGCUUGCUUAAAACUGGCUCAAAAGUUGUAGCAGUGGUCUAUUCUCACCCGGUGGGACUAACAGGUGGACAGGAAGUGAAGUGAGGAAGGCAGAUCUUCUUCAGGGAAAAAGUUCAGUACAGAGCUGGGCCCUGUUCCACACUAUGUCCCAUUGUAUACAAUUUUGCCUAAGGAUGUUCCUUGCAGUGACUCCUUGGUCUGGUACAUGAGGUCUGGCUUUUGCUACUCUGUUAAUACUGGGAUCUCACUAGAGCUCCUCUUGGGUAUCCUGUUUUGCCCUGUGUCAUGGAAAUCCUGUAGUUUUGGAUCUACAGGACCACAAACUCCAGCAGUUCAUGGCAGGGAUAGGUGUUGGGUAGGCUGAUUCAAAGCCUUGGAUCAGGAUCUGAGAGGUAUCUGAAUUGGUUCUCCCAUGUGCUUGCCCUCAGGGCUGGCUCACCUGCCAUCCUGGGCCAUCUCUACGGUGCUUCCCAGGUGAAGUGCAGGGCCCGCUCUCCUGAGUGCUGCAGCAAGUGAGGAGCAGGACAGCGCUCUGGCUCUCAUGACCCCAGCUCUCCUGCCCUGAGUAGGUGGCAAGAGGAGAGCAUCUGUCCCUCACCCACGCUACUGUGCAGCAGACAAGUUGCAGAGCAGGCUCUCCCAUGCUUACCCUCAGAAAUGGCUCACUUAGGCCCCUGCCAUCAGGAUCAGAUAUAAUGUGCUGCCCAGGUGAGAUACAGUGCCCGCUCUCCUGCUCUGAUGACCUCAAGGGUGGCAUCCAGGGGUGAGGUAGGGGACAUCUGACUGCAUGGUAGACAAAUGGCAGGACCCGCUCUCCUGGGCUCAUGGCCUGGGGGACGGCUCACCCAUGCCAUCCUUGGAAUCAAAGUCAACUCUACUGUGCUGCCUAGGCAAGGUGCAAGGUCUGCUCUCCUGAGUGCUACAGCUGGGGAGGGGCAGGGACAGCUCUCCUGUCCUCGUGACCCAGAGGCAGAUCUCCUGCCUGCCAUAAGUGCUGAGGGGUGAGCCUAGAGGAGGGUAUCUCUCCCUUGUCUGUACCACUGCACAGGACAUGAGUGGCAGGGCCAGCUCUCCCACUCUCAUGACCUUGGUGCAGGCCUCACCUACAACUCAAAGCUCCCAUACUUUGUGGGAUGCUCUCCCUCGUACUGCAGCUGACUAGGGUCAGCUGUCCUGCUCUCACAGCCCUGGGGCUAGCUCUCCCAAGAUGCCCAACUGGGGGAAGCAGUUCUGUACAACCCUCAGACAUCAACAUGUCCCCAGGCGGUAGCCCAGCCCGGGGAUAUCUGCCUGGCUUUUGGUGAUAACAGAACCUUGCUGCUGCAGGGCCACAGACCCAGAUGUGGCCCCAGGCGGCAGCACAGGCCAGGACCCCACCAUGGUCCCAGGUGGCAUCACGAGUCACUCACAUCAGGCUGUUCCUCACUACCUUCGAGUUUCCAGCUGUGCCUUUUUUCAUUGUGCCCACAUCCUUCUGUUUCUCGUUCUUUCCCAUUUCUCCACCACUUAGUUGCUUCUCUUAGUGACAUCCAGGGUCUCUGAGUGGCUGAGGUGGUCUCAGGAGUACUGUGUCCCACUUGUGCAUUAUGGCACUAGGCAGGGGUCAUCUUGGGCUUGAUCCUUGCCCAGGCCUGCCCAAGUAGCCCCAUGGGAGGGAGGAUCAUCAGCCUCAGGUUCAUUCCCUUCUAUGGCCGAGCUCCAGGCAGGGUUCUAGUCUCCUGCUUGCUCCCCACCCUGCCCAGACUGCCCGCCCAGGCCUAUGCAAUGCUGAACUGGUAGUUUCCUCAAGCUUGCUUUUCACAAAGAAUGUUAGGUCACUACUCAUUCAGAUUUCCACAGGUCAGAACCCUGAGUGUAGACAUAGCCUCUCUUCUCUGUGUCACCAAGAGACCCACAUGUGACAGAAAAAUGACUUUUUAGAAAGGAAUUCUAGUAUUUUGGUACAGAGUAAAGUUUCAAAGGGAGUUUUAUUGCAGAAGGCAACCAGAGCCGUGUAGGAGGAUCCUGAGUUCCAAAGUAUAGACAGGUACAUGCAUGGUCUAAAGCAGUUGUUCUCAACCUGUGGGUCUCGACCCCUUGGCAUCAAACGACCUUCUCACAGGGGUCUCCUGGGACUACCGGGAAACACAGAUAUUACAUUGUUACUCUUAACAGCAAAAUGAUACAAAGUAGCAAUGAACAAAAUUUUAUGCCUCGGGGACCACCAUAACACGAGGAACUGUAUUAACUGGUCUCAGAGUUAGGAAUGUUGAGAACCCAUGAUCUAAGUUGUCAUGGAAACCUGUGACUUGCUAGCUAACAAGCCCCUGCCACCAACCUUCUGUCUCCAGGUUGAUAUUCUGUGCCCCAACUGUGGUUCCUCACAUAGAGAAGGCCCUGUUUCCCUCUCCGAGGAUACAUGGGGCCGCAGAGCUUACAGGAUGUAACUUCCAAGGAAAUCUAGACAGGUUGUGCCUGAACUGUUUUGGAACUGUGAAGAGAAGGAAAGCACCCUGACAUCCCUUCUCCUCAGGCCCCUCAUGAGGUGUAAAGACAAGAAGUGUCAAGUGCCCUUAGCCUUGUGUCUCCCCGUGGAGUAUUUUAGCAGCUGCCGGGACCCCACUGGAAUCCUGUCAUACAUGAAUUACUGUCUCAAGGCUCAGGGACAAAUGUUUUAUUCAGAAGCAUUGAAUGGAAUUUUGCUUUAUAGUCCUCCAGAUGAUAUGUGCCUUGGAAGCAGACAGAUAAUAAAUCAACCUCUGGGUCUUGAGAAAAAAAAUAUCCGUUCCAAGUCUAGAUAUGGGAACAGCACUUCCGUGGGUUUGGCCCUUUUGGAAGACAGUGAGUUCAACUUCCGGAGAAUGUAAAGCGUGAGGAAAACAUCGACGAUGAGUACAGGAGAAUAAUUAAAUCCGGCAUGAGAUUAGUGUUUGUGAGGUUACCAAAAAUCACAGGCUAGACCAGAGGGGGCUUACAACAGGCUGGCUCUCCCCAUCCCAACCAGAGCUCCUGCCUGGGGGGUGAGGCUGGGGUGCUGCUUGUGUCUGUGAGUUUGCAGAAAUUCCAGGCAAAGAUCAGUUCUAAGCGAACCUUGGAUUUAAAAUGGACUAUUUUUCUUCCGAAAAAUACACCCACGGAUUACUGACACCGAAGGCAAGAAACCGCUCUGUUUAAAAGUAGGAGAGGGAAAAAACAUCUUGCAGAGGGGAGCUUGUCAGAAGCUUCCUCUUGAAUGAUUAGUCUGUCUGAUACCUGGCUUGUUCUUGUCUGAGUUCCUCCUCAAAGUCUUUCUGAAGUAGCUCCAGGGCUUUGUAGUGAAAGUUGCCU